rnacentral:rRNA from 1 species
UACGAAGGGGGCUAGCGUUGUUCGGAAUUACUGGGCGUAAAGCGCGCGCAGGCUGCUCUUCAAGUCAGGGGUGAAAGCCCAGAGCUCAACUCUGGAACUGCCUUUGAGACUGUAGAGCUUGAGUACGGGAGAGGUGAGUGGAAUUCCCAGUGUAGAGGUGAAAUUCGUAGAUAUUGGGAAGAACACCGGUGGCGAAGGCGGCUCACUGGCCCGUUACUGACGCUCAGGCGCGACAGCGUGGGGAUCAAACAGG